GGAAGCAUAGCUCAGUGGUAGAGCAUUUGCCUACAAUGCAUGAGGCAUUGGGUUCAAGUUCCCACUCUCCA
rnacentral:tRNA from 1 species